AGAGGAAUCAUACAAUGGCUAGUAUUGCGGUCUCCAAAACCGCUCAUGGGGGUUCGAGUCCCUCUUCCUCUG
rnacentral:tRNA from 1 species